rnacentral:rRNA from 1 species
UUCCGGUUGAUCCUGCCGGAGGCUACUGCUAUUGGAAUUCGACUAAGCCAUGCGAGUCAAGGUGUCUUCGGACGCCGGCAUACGGCUCAGUAACACGUAGGUAACCUACCCUCAGGACUGAGAUAACCCCGGGAAACUGGGGCUAAUAUUAGAUAGAUAAAAGAUACUGGAAUGUUCUUUUAUCCAAAGCUUUUGCGCCUGAGGAUGGGCCUGCGCCCGAUUAGGUUGUUGGUGGGGUAAUGGCCCACCAAGCCUACGAUCGGUACGGGCAGUGGGAGCUGAAGCCCGGAGUUGGGGACUGAGACAAGGCCCCAGGCCCUACGGGGCGCAGCAGGCGCGAAACCUCUGCAAUGCGGGAAACCGUGACAGGGGGAUUCCAAGUGCUCAUGCAUUGCAUGGGCUGUUCUUUGGUCUAAGUAACCAGAGGAGUAAGGGCUGGGCAAGACCGGUGCCAGCCGCCGCGGUAAUACCGGCAGCUCAAGUGGUAGCCGCGAUUAUUGGGCCUAAAACGUUCGUAGCCGGAUAAGUAAGUCUUUGGUUAAAUCCUGCGACUUAACCGUGGGAAAUCUAGAGAUACUGCUUGUCUUGAGACCGGGAGAGGUUGGAGGUACUCCCAGGGUAGGGGUGAAAUCCUGUAAUCCUGGGGGGACCACCUGUGGCGAAGGCGUCCAACUGGAACGGGUCUGACGGUGAGGGACGAAACCUAGGGGAGCGAGCCGGAUUAGAUACCCGGGUAGUCCUAGGCGUAAAUGAUGCGAGUUAAGUGUGGGGGCAUCCACGAGAUGGCCCUGUGCUGUAGGGUAGCCGUUAAACUCGCUGCCUGGGGAGUACGGUCGCAAGGCUGAAACUUUAAAGGAAUUGGCGGGGGGAGCACCACAAGUGGGUGGAGGCUGCGGGUUCAUUUGGAUUCAACGCCGGG